rnacentral:rRNA from 1 species
AGGACGAACGCUGGCGGCGUGCUUAACACAUGCAAGUGGGGCGACGAACCAGGCUUCGGCCUGGGGCAAAGCCGCGAACGGGUGAGUAACACGUGGGUAACCUGCCCCGAAGACUGGGACAACCCGGGGAAACCCGGGCUAAUACCGGAUGUGGUCAUCGUCCACAAGGACGAUGAGCAAAGGAAGCUUCGGCCUCCGCUUCGGGAUGGGCCCGCGGCCCAUUAGCUUGUUGGUGAGGUAACGGCUCACCAAGGCUUCGAUGGGUAGCUGGUCUGAGAGGACGAUCAGCCACACUGGGACUGAGACACGGCCCAGACUCCUACGGGAGCAGCAGUGGGAAUCUUGCGCAAGUGACGCGAAAGCGUGACGCAGCAACGCCGCGUGGGGAAGACGGCCGUUCGGUUAGUAAACCCCGUUUCGAGGACGGACGAAGCCGUACCGGUCGACGGAAGACGCGGUCCGGAGUCGACGGUACCUCCGAACAACGAACGCCCGGACUAACGACGUGACCCAGACAGCCGACGGUAA